AGGGAAUAGAUACCCUGGUAGUCCACGCCGUAAACUAUGGAUGCUAGCUGUUGGCCGUAUCGACCCGGUCAGUAGCGAAAGCUAACGCGUUAAGCAUCCCGCCUGUGGAGUACGGUCGCAAGACUAAAACAUAAAGGAAUUGACGGGGACCCGCACAAGCGGUGGAGCGUGUUGUUUAAUUCGAUGCUAAGCGAAGAACCUUACCCAGGUUUGACAUCUUCGGAAUUACUACGAAAGUAGUGAGUGCCUUCAGGAACCGAAUGACAGGUGAUGCAUGGCCGUCGUCAGCUCGUGUCGUGAGAUGUUUGGUUGAGUCCAUCAACGAGCGCAACCCUUAUGAAUAGUUGUAUUUUUCUAUUCAGACUGCCUCGGUAACGGGGUAGGAAGGAGGGGAUGAGGUCAGGUCAGUA
rnacentral:rRNA from 1 species